CCUACGGGAGGCAGCAGUAGGGAAUCUUCCACAAUGGGCGAAAGCCUGAUGGAGCAACGCCGCGUGGGUGAAGAAGGUCUUCGGAUCGUAAAACCCUGUUGUUAGAGAAGAAAGUGCGUGAGAGUAACUGUUCACGUGUCGACGGUAUCUAACCAGAAAGCCACGGCUAACUACGUGCCAGCAGCCGCGGUAAUACGUAGGUGGCAAGCGUUAUCCGGAUUUAUUGGGCGUAAAGGGAACGCAGGCGGUCUUUUAAGUCUGAUGUGAAAGCCUUCGGCUUAACCGGAGUAGUGCAUUGGAAACUGGGAGACUUGAGUGCAGAAGAGGAGAGUGGAACUCCAUGUGUAGCGGUGAAAUGCGUAGAUAUAUGGAAGAACACCAGUGGCGAACGCGGCUCUCUGGUCUGUACCUGACGCUGAGGUUCGAACGCGUGGGUAGCAAACAGGAUUAGAUACCCUGGUAGUC
rnacentral:rRNA from 1 species